rnacentral:rRNA from 1 species
UACGUAGGCAGCAAGCGUUGUUCGGAUUUACUGGGCGUAAAGGGCGCGUAGGCGGCCACCGCAAGUCAAUUGUGAAAUCUCCGGGCUCAACCCGGAAAGGUCAACUGAUACUGCGGGGCUAGAGUGCAGAAGGGGCAACUGGAAUUCUCGGUGUAGCGGUGAAAUGCGUAGAUAUCGAGAGGAACACCUGCGGCGAAGGCGGGUUGCUGGGCUGACACUGACGCUGACAGCGCGAAAGCUAGGGGAGCGAACGGG